rnacentral:miRNA from 1 species
ACUAAAUAUCAGACAUAUUCCU